AUGUCUGAAAGGGAGUUGGUGGACAUGUUCUUAGGCACUCUAUCGGGCCCUUUCUUCAACCAUCUGAUCGGGAGCUCAUCUGCAGGAUUUACUGAGUUAAUACUAACUGGAGAAAUGGUGGAAGCUGGCAUGAAAAGUGGAAAGAUUCAGAAGGAUUCAUCUGCCUCUACAGCUGUGAGGAAACCUUUCAUUGGGAAGAAGGAGGUAUCUGAUGUUUAUCCAUAA